UGGGUAACCUGCCUCAAAGAGGGGAAUAGCCUCCCCGAAAAGGGAGAUUAAUACCGCAUAAUAUGUUUAGGUCGCAUGACUUUAACAUCAAAGGAUUUUCUUUUAGAAAUUCCACUUUGAGGUGGACCCGCGGCGCAUUAGCUAGUUGGUGAGGUAACGGCUCACCAAGGCAACGAUGCGUAGCCGACCUGAGAGGGUGAUCGGCCACAUUGGAACUGAGACACGGUCCAGGCUCCUACGGGAGCAG
rnacentral:rRNA from 1 species